rnacentral:rRNA from 1 species
AUGGGCUUGACCAAUGUGGACAUCGCCGACUGGAGCAGCUUCGACAACGUCAAGGACUGGUGGCACCACAUGGUGGGCGUCAAUGCCAAUGUGAGAAAGGGCCUCGCAUCUGUCGUCAUGUUGGUUUCAUGGGAGAUUUGGAACGAGCGGAACGCGAGAGUGUUUAGGAAUGUGUCCUCCAUGCCAUAUGUAAUCACAUCUAGAAUUAAGACCGAAGCCAGGCUUUGGGGGUUGGCGGGGGCCAAGCAUUUGAGUUCUCUUAUACCGCGAGAGUAG